ensembl:lncRNA
CUAUUUCAUUUGAAAUAUACAUUAAGCAUAUUUGAAGCCUAUGUCACUUCAUCUCUAGGAGAAACACAGGGAAGCUUUUACCAGGAUCUAGCUAAAAAACGCAAGACACGAUCUGACAGUGGAGAGAAGCCAACACAGAGUGAGCCCUGCAAACAGACAUUUUCAGAGAGCACUGCGGCUUUUCUGGAGCCCUCCGUUCCCAAGGAAGAAAAUGCCACCUCAAAAACCAGAGAAACUUGAGGAUGUUCCACUGGGGGUGGUUA